GGCGUCUUCCACCGCACAUUGCCAGAACUAGAACCCGGUGAGCAGAGCAGCAGGGCCCGGGUGAGGAGGGAGCAGGAGAGAAGGAAGACCCUAGCUGCUCUCUGCGCAGGACUGUGAUUUGCAUAUUGCAGGACCUGGGCCCAGGUGGUGAGACCGGAGGUGCCAUCGUGCUUGACGUCUGUGUGGCCGGCCAGCUGGACCAUUGCGCUCAGCCACACUCAGCUCCAGGAGGCCACAGAUCUCUGACUCAGAUCUCGGCGAGUAGCCCUGACAUCUAUUACCCCAGAAAGAGAUUUGAUAUCGGGCCUAAUGGCUUUUCUGGAAAAUGUGAUCGCAGCACAACCCUAGUUCCUGGUGGAAGUUAAAGGGAAGCACCACAAACAAAGCAAGCUGGUGGAGGGCAAGCUCGUCCGAGCUUCACUACGCAUUGGCACUCAUGGAAGCAAGCCAUGCACAGGCAGCACGCAUCCAGAGAGCAUUUCAAGUCGCGUUUGGCAUUCAAGAGCAUUUUGGUGCUUAUAUUUAAUUGUGGGUGUGUUUGGUAUGUCUAUAAUUCACAACACAUGAGGCCACAGUGUGAGAACCUGAAUCAGUAGGAGGCAGAGAGCCGUCCAGUUUUCCCAUCCGGCUCCUGCUCCAUUAGCACUUGCCCAGAACUCCACUCUGGGGGUGACGGCCCAGAUUCCCUGCUGAUGAAAAGCAGCCCAGGCGCCUGCUUUGAGGGAGCAGUCCUGGCUAAGAGACCAAUUAACUGGCUCAAAAGCCCUUCUUUCCUAGGAGCUGAGCCAGUUCAGAAGAGAAGUUGUGACUGAGACCAGGAGAGGGUCAGAAGCCCCCUGGAUGCACCAUGCAAAGUGGGUCCACAGGAGGGGAAAAGGUUCAUCCUGUUAUCAACUCAGCAGACAGAGGAAGUGACAUCAUGUGCCCGAGCUCUCCUUUGAAGCUGGAGGUGCAUACUAAGACAUUGUGUGUAGUGCUGUGCUCUGGGCAGGAAGCACCACGCUUGGAUUUUCUGUUAAAC
rnacentral:lncRNA from 1 species